rnacentral:lncRNA from 1 species
AGCCUUCAAAUACGCAAGCUACGUGCAGAAGCUGGGAACCGUCCUCUUAGAGCUGCUCUCUGAGUCACUUGGACUGAACCCUGAUCACCUCAUAAAAAUGGAGUGUGCUGAUGGACUCCGUUUUUUCAUGCACUAUUACCCUGCCUGUCCUGAACCUCACCUCACACUCGGCACGAGUAAACAUUCCGAUUCCGGUUUCAUUACCAUUCUUCUGCAAGAUAGUCUCGGCGGUUUACAAGUCCUCCGUCAGAAUCAGUGGCUCGAUGUCCCUCCGGUGCCAGGAUCGUUCAUCGUUAACAUGGGCGACCUUUUACAGGUGAAUAAAUGCAUGUGCACGCGCGUCUAUAUAUUUUUACGGGUCUCGAUCUUUUAUUUAGGGAAUUUGUUGGUUAACUUGGCUCAGAAUAAUGAUUCGUCGAGAGUGAAAGAUAAAGGCGCAUUAGUAUAUUUACAUUCAGUACUCCCCGUCGCAUUUUAGCUGCAGAACUUUCAAUACGGAGAAGCUUGAGGGUGGCUAGAAGUUUUAGCUCUUUUGCACCUGAAUUUUGAAUAUAAUGGAUAAAGUAAUUAUGUGCAUGUUAUAUUCAAAUUCCAGUUGUAGGAUUACUGUUGUUCAAAUCUUGCCCUUUACCAAAAUUGAGUUGAUGUGAUGUAGCUACAAUGAUUAGAUCAUUUAUUAGUAGGUGAAACAUAUAUAGUUCUUAUUUGGUUUCCUCACUAGUAUAAAUCUUCUUUGAACCUGCAGUUGGUCUCCAAUGACAAGCUCAAGAGUGUUGAGCACAGGGUGGUUGCAAAGAGCUCUGGCCCCAGAAUUUCUGUGGCAGGCUCCUUCAGCACAAGUCACGCUACAUCCUCAAGGCUUUAUGGCCCUAUCAAGGAGUUAACUUCGCAUAAUAAUCCUCCGCGUUAUAAGGAAGUAACUUUGAAGGACUUCAUCGCGCACUACAAUCACAAAGGCCUGAAUGGGAAGCCGGCGUUAGACCACUUCAAAUUGUGAUUCGGAGUCGAAAGUCCAGUUACAAGGUAACGUGGUCAUAUAUACUUCAUGAAAAAUGCGAAUUCCGUGCAUGACACCCGAUUAGUGACAUUAACAUAAUAAUCUUUUUAUCGCUCGUUCGGUUUAAAUGAAAUUGUGAAACAAAUGGUGGAGAAAUGUAUGGAUAAGCUUCUUUUAACGAAAAGGGAUCAAUAUAUAAGCAAUAACUACUCGAUAUACAUAUACAGUAAGAUGUACUCUUUUUUUUUCUCUUCGUUUUUGGGGGAGAAUUCGCAAGGCUAACAUGUAUUCUUUUUUUCUUCAAUGCAGUGGAAAAGAGUGCUGAGCACAAGGUCUUAUUGGAGAUUAUUACAAUUAAAGGGAUUAUUAUAUGCAUACUGUAAUAAAAUUGGCAUCUAUGUUACACAUUGUUUACUGUAAUAAAGGGAUUAUAUACUUGUUGUACACAAGUAUAUGCGACUAAUUGUUAUGUAAUAAUUUGUUGGACCAUAUCAAUAUCUAUAUAUAUACUUAUACAUUAUUUCUUCUAAAGUUGCCACAUGAUAAUUAUUUCUUCAUUGUUGAUUGUGGACUCUGUCCCGAACCAGCUCAAGUCCUUCAUCUUUCUCUUCCUUCGGUUAUUAUCUUCGUUCAUCAGUAAGAUGAAUUUUAUUUCUUAUUAUUGUUUUUUCAUCGUUGUUUUCUUCUUCUUUUUUUUUCGAUGUUUUUCUUUUUUUUUAAUUAUUUAUCUGCCGCAUCGGCUGGUUACUACACUAGUGUUGUAUAAUAUGUUAAGCUUUAGGUAAAAACCUAAUGAAGAUAUCUAAACUAUGUAUUAUUUUGAUCAACUAUUCAAACCUUUAGCUUUUUAUUUGCUGUCGAAUUUUUUUUAUUUGUAUUUGAUUUUAGAAUUUAAGUUAAUUAUUUAUUUUUAAAAAUUUUGUAUAUUUAAAGUCAUAAAGUUUUUAUCUAAGGCGCACACCACUAGGACACGUGUCAACGUAACAGGCACAGAAACGCCGCUCCGCCUCCGCCGCACGAUAGGCACUACACAAUUCCUAUCAAGUGCGUAUACAUGCGUAUUGAUCUCGUUCCACGCGUCCGCAUAAACAUAAAGCAUGGCCGCAUACUCGGACUCCGAGCGCCUCGCCGAGCUCCGCGCCUUCGACGCGACCAAAGCCGGCGUCAAGGGGCUCGCCGACGCCGGCUUCACCUCCGUCCCCCGCUUCUUCGUCCACCCCGACCCCGACCUCGAGCGAACCCCCCGCGCGAAUCUCCAAGUCCCCGUCGUCGACCUCGGCGGCGUCGCCGCCGACCCCGCACGGCGCGCAGCGGCGGCGGCGGCGGCGGGGGGCGCGGCGGAGGCGCUGGGGCUGUUCCACGUGGUGAACCACGGGGUGCCCCAGCAGGUGCUCGACGAAAUGCUCGAGAGAGUGAGGGGGUUCCACGAGGAGGGGGUGGAGGUGAAGGGGGAGUACUACACCCGGGACCUGAGCAGGAAGGUGGUGUACAAUUGCAACUUCGACUUGUUCCAGACGCAGGCGGCGAAUUGGCGGGACACGCUCUCCUUCUCGAUGGCGCCGGAGCCGCCGCGGCCCGAGGAGUUGCCCCUCGCCUGCAGGUAAUUAACGCAGUUCGUGCCUCGCCCGAAAGAUCGAACUAAAAGAAAACAAGUCAGAAAUAGUGACGUACUUUAAAGCUUUUUGAAAACAUAUAAAUUAUUAUUUUACAUAUAAUAUCAAAGCAGGAGAGUAGGUUAUUUAGUUAAACCAUCUCACGAAAAAGUUGCGAGCUUAGACAUGAGCUGGAGUGUUCUCUAGCAAGAUAAAAUUUUAAACACAAAUGCUAUUGAAAUCUAAUUAAUUAAAAAAUAGUUCUGAAAUAGACUUAAUAGUUUGAAAGUGGGUAAUUUGCAAAGUUUCAUUUUUGGCUCUUGAAAAGUUGGACACAUGACAAGUUGAACCUUUGAAAGUGUUUUUAAUUUAAUCUUUUAUCUUUAUUUACUAUUAAAGAUUUUUUUUUUUUUUGAGAGAGAGAGAGAGAAAGAUAGCAAGCUACAUGAUUAAUUUGUUUUUUAGAAACAUAAAAUAAUUAGGUUUCAAAUUUAGAACUUUAGGUACUAAUUACCGAGCCCUUUAGCCAACUUUAUUAGAUACUAUUAAUUGUGUACAUCUGAUGCAUUCGUGCACCAAUAAAGCCAUGAUCCUAUUACUCAUUGAGUUGUAAUCUUUUCUUGGAUGGUUGAAUUGCAUGUAUAAGAUGGAAAUUGAUGGUGGGGUAAAAGAAUAAUUGGUGUAUGGAUGCACCAGAACUCAAGAAGCAGCUAGUAUAUUUUCCUAUGAGCAUUUCCAUAGUUAGGAAUAAGGAAUAUUGUCCUGUCCAACUUAAAAGUUCAAGGUUAGGACCACAGUAAAAUGUAGAAAAAGAAUUCAGAGACUAUUAAGUAAAAUUUAAAUGAAAGUUCAGAGACUAUGGGUGCGAUUUAAUCUUGUAAGAAGUAAGACUUGGCUGGAAAAUGUUCUUCUUCCUUUUUCUUCUUUUUUUUUUUUUUUUUUUUUUUUGAGAAUAGUAGUAGUAAGUUAUCUGUUUCAUUAAAUUUUUUUAGAAAUAAAUUAAACUAGAAAUGUGAAGCCACUGGGGUUCAAACUUAGGACUUACGGUACCAACCAUUAGGUCAUUAGCUAACUAUGUUAGAUAAGGUCGGUUUGGCAAAAAAAUAUAUAUUUAAAUGCAGGAGAUUCUUUUACGCCACAAAUAGAUCCUAGCCUCUAGUUUCAGCUCAUUCAGUGGCUCUGAACCCAGCCAUAUAUGUAGUGUGACCAUAUCCUAAGGAGGUGAUUGAAAAUUGACCGUCGCUAACGCAAAUUGUAAAAUACUUGAUGGUUGAUAAUUUGGUAUUUGAGGAUCUAAGUUCGAAAAGUAGUUAUUUUAAAAGUUCAAUUAACCGACCGUCUCCAGAGCAAGUGUCGAAGGGCUUGGUAGUUGGUACCCGAGAUCCAAGUUCGAAUCCUAGUUGAUUUACAUUUCCAGUUAAGUUUAUUUUUAAAUGAAAUAAAUGAAGCGGGUAGCGUGCUACCUGUCUUUCAAAAAAAAAAAAAGUUCACCUAAGUUUAUUUCUCCAAAAUAAACAAAGUGAUAUCAUGCUACCAUUCUUUCUCCCUUUUUCCUUUUUAGAAAAGAACGUGACCCAACAAUAUACAAAAUGCACAACAAUCACCUACUUCUCACCUGUUGUACAAAAGUAUUUGCUUAAAAAGGGUAAAGAUGUUUGAAGGCUCCCUCACUUAUGGGAGAUUCUGAGGUGGGCUCUCAACUUUAAUAUAUAGUAUUGACACCUCUUCUACUUUUGAUCUUUUGCCACUUAAGUGAGUUCAUCAAUUAGAUUAGGAAUUUUAUCAAAUUCAUAAGUGAUUUCAUGAAAUUUAAUGGUUUUGAUCACUGCUUUAGCAAAGCUAAUAGCUAACUGAGAAUUUUUAACUCAAAGUCAAAGAAAUUAUUUUUACCAAAAUAUUUUGAUUACAUGAUCAGUUUUGUCGCAUGUAAUUAUGUUAACAUGUUGAGAUCUAUGCAGGGACAUAGCCUUCAAAUACGCAAGCUACGUGCAGAAGCUGGGAACCGUCCUCUUAGAGCUGCUCUCUGAGUCACUUGGACUGAACCCUGAUCACCUCAUAAAAAUGGAGUGUGCUGAUGGACUCCGUUUUUUCAUGCACUAUUACCCUGCCUGUCCUGAACCUCACCUCACACUCGGCACGAGUAAACAUUCCGAUUCCGGUUUCAUUACCAUUCUUCUGCAAGAUAGUCUCGGCGGUUUACAAGUCCUCCGUCAGAAUCAGUGGCUCGACGUCCCUCCGGUGCCAGGAU